rnacentral:SRP_RNA from 1 species
GCCAGACGCGGUGGCGCACGCCUGUAGUCCCAGCUACUCGGGAGGCUGAGAUGGGAGGAUCGCUUGAGCCCAGGAGUUCUGGGCUGUAGUGCGCUAUGCCGAUCGGGUGUCCGCACUAAGUUCGGCAUCAAUAUGGUGACCUCCCGGGAGCGGGGGACCACCAGGUUGCCUAAGGAGGGGUGAACCGGCCCAGGUCAGAAACGGAGCAGGUCAAAACUCCCGUGCUGAUCAGUAGUGGGAUCACGCCUGUGAAUAGCCACUGCACUCCAGCCUGGGCAACAUAGCAAGACCCCGUCUCUU